UAGUAAUCGCGGAUCAGCAUGCCGCGGUGAAUACGUUCUCGGGCCUUGUACACACCGCCCGUCGCACCAUGGGAGUCGGUAACACCCGAAGUCUGUAGCCUGACGCAAGAGGGCGCAGCCGAAGGUGGGAUUGAUGACUGGGGUGAAGUCGUAACAAGGUAGC
rnacentral:rRNA from 1 species